AAAGACUUGGUAAAGUUGACUCGGUUGCUUCUUCGUCCCCUCCCUGCUCUUCACUCUACUCUCAAAAAUCAGUGCUACUAUAAGUAACUGCAAAUCUAUCAAAAACAUUCACAACUCCAAUGUAUUUCUUACUAUUCCCUUCAACAUUUUCCUCUAUUUGAAGAGCUACUUACUUUCCAUACACUUAGUUCAGAUCUCGAGAUGAUGAAAGUAGUGCUGAAGUUGGAGUAUGUGGAUGAAAAAGUCAAGCAAAAGGUGAUGAAAAAAGUUUCUGUUGUGGAAGGGGUAGAGUCAAUGUCGAUGGAUACAAAGGACAAGAAAUUGACAGUAGUCGGAAAUGUAGAUCCAGUUGUAAUAGUUUCAAAAUUGAAGAAACUGUGUCACACUGAGAUAGUAUUGGUUGGACCAGCAAAAGAGCCGGAGAAGAAGAAAGAUAAUGAGCCGAAGAAAACAGAAGACAAAAAGAAAGCGGCAGCGAUAAAGGCAUAUCCAGCUCCAGUUCUCUAUCAAUAUCAAUAUCAACAACCUUAUCCACAGUACCCAACCCCUGUUCCUGCUUAUCAGCACUAUUACAGUGUGGAAGAGGACUCUAACUCUUGUGUGAUCUGCUAGCUUCACAUUUGUGAUGAGUUAGUGGACUAGUUCAUACAAGCCUCCUUGUUGUACUAUAUUUGGUUGAAGAAUUGAAAUUUAAAGAGGAUAAUAAGCAUUUGAAGCUGAAAAAAAUAAAAAGUUAGAUUUCAUAUCGUGAACGCUUAUUAUAUUAAGAAUACAAAUUGUGUUUUGAUUGAAUUUCACCUCGAAAUAUAUAGGACUGAAAGGCUGUAUAUUGAAGUCAAGCCACAAAUCUUGACACAUUAUAGUUA
rnacentral:misc_RNA from 1 species